rnacentral:rRNA from 1 species
GAUGAACGCUGGCGGCGUGCCUAAUACAUGCAAGUCGAGCGAACAGACGAGGAGCUUGCUCCUCUGACGUUAGCGGCGGACGGGUGAGUAACACGUGGAUAACCUACCUAUAAGACUGGGAUAACUUCGGGAAACCGGAGCUAAUACCGGAUAAUAUAUUGAACCGCAUGGUUCAAUAGUGAAAGACGGUUUUGCUGUCACUUAUAGAUGGAUCCGCGCCGCAUUAGCUAGUUGGUAAGGUAACGGCUUACCAAGGCAACGAUGCGUAGCCGACCUGAGAGGGUGAUCGGCCACACUGGAACUGAGACACGGUCCAGACUCCUACGGGAGGCAGCAGUAGGGAAUCUUCCGCAAUGGGCGAAAGCCUGACGGAGCAACGCCGCGUGAGUGAUGAAGGUCUUCGGAUCGUAAAACUCUGUUAUUAGGGAAGAACAAAUGUGUAAGUAACUAUGCACGUCUUGACGGUACCUAAUCAGAAAGCCACGGCUAACGACGUG